rnacentral:tRNA from 1 species
GUCCCCAUCGUCUAGAGGCCUAGGACAUCGCCCUUUCACGGCGGUAACACGGGUUCAAAUCCCGUUGGGGACGCCA